AUUAACAAUUUGGCAUGAUGUCACCUAAAUAAUAACAGUCACCAAUCGCUCAGUAUUAUGGCGCCCGACAGUUUGUAUAAAACAAAAUCUAACACUUAGCAAGCAUUCAAAAAUAUUUUGGCUUAGUUUCAAUUUCAAUCCUACACGACAUGACAGUUCGCAAAAUGCUCGGUCGGCAGUUUAUAGAUAUCUUUUCUUGCAAUUGGAGAUUGACAUGGUUGAACGUACAUACCUCAGAUGUUACCUAAAUACGUUCAUCGAAUUCGAAGAUAUUUUCUCAGAUUCUGUUUCGUGAUUCAUUGAGAACACGACCCGACAUUUUUUCUUUCCCAGAUAAUAUAUUUAUGUUUUUUGGUUCGCAAAUUUCGGUCUUGCUGAUCCACUUCCUUUCUGACAUCCAGUCAAAAAUUCAGGUCAGGCUUGUGUAUUAACUCGAAGAAAUGAUUUUUCACUUUUCCUGGGUGUCUGCAUGUCUAUUUGACAUUGGUGGAGCGGAAAAGCUUCAGCUGCAGAGUAAACAACAACGGCUCCCACUGAAUUACCAAGCGUAAAAAUUAUAUAAAUGCCUGCUGAGUUUAUGAGGUAGGUGUUUUCCGUUUCGCCCAAGCGUAUGUGCUCAUCAGUAAUCAAUCGGUUGUAAAUGCAUAAGUUUAUACCUCAUUGAAA